UACAGAGGUCUCAAGCGUUGUUCGGAUUCAUUGGGCGUAAAGGGUGCGUAGGCGGCGCGGUAAGUCGGGUGUGAAAUCUUGGAGCUUAACUCCGAAACUGCAUUCGAUACUGCCGUGCUUGAGGACUGGAGAGGAGACUGGAAUUUACGGUGUAGCGGUGAAAUGCGUAGAUAUCGGAAGGGAGACCAGUGGCGAAGGCGGGUCUCUGGACAGUUCCUGACGCUGAGGAACGAAGGCCAGGGGAGCAAACGGG
rnacentral:rRNA from 1 species